UACAGAGGGUGCGAACGUUGCUCGGAAUUACUGGGCGUAAAGCGCAUGUAGGCGGAUCCAUAAGUCGGGCGUGAAAUCCCCAGGCUCAACCUGGGAAACUGCAUCCGAUACUGGAUGGCUUGAAUCCGGGAGAGGGAUGCAGAAUUCCAGGUGUAGCGGUGAAAUGCGUAGAUAUACUGGAGGAAUACCGGUGGCGAAGGCGGCAUCCUGGACCGGCAUUGA
rnacentral:rRNA from 1 species